rnacentral:rRNA from 1 species
ACUCCUACGGGAGGCAGCAGUGAGGAAUAUUGGGCAAUGGAGGCAACUCUGACCCAGCCAUGCCGCGUGAAGGAAGACUGCCUUAUGGGUUGUAAACUUCUUUUAUAAGGGAAGAAAUGAUUCUACGCGUAGAAUUUUGACGGUACCUUAUGAAUAAGCACCGGCUAACUCCGUGCCAGCAGCCGCGGUAA